rnacentral:rRNA from 1 species
AACGAACGCUGGCGGCAUGCCUAACACAUGCAAGUCGAACGAAGGCUUCGGCCUUAGUGGCGCACGGGUGCGUAACGCGUGGGAAUCUGCCCUUUGGUUCGGAAUAACAGCUGGAAACGGCUGCUAAUACCGGAUGAUGACGAAAGUCCAAAGAUUUAUCGCCAGAGGAUGAGCCCGCGUUGGAUUAGGUAGUUGGUGGGGUAAAGGCCUACCAAGCCGACGAUCCAUAGCUGGUCUGAGAGGAUGAUCAGCCACACUGGGACUGAGACACGGCCCAGACUCCUACGGGAGGCAGCAGUGGGGAAUAUUGGACAAUGGGCGCAAGCCUGAUCCAGCAAUGCCGCGUGAGUGAUGAAGGCCCUAGGGUUGUAAAGCUCUUUUACCCGGGAAGAUAAUGACUGUACCGGGAGAAGAAGCCCCGGCUAACUCCGUG